CCGGGGUUCGAUUUCCCGCCGGAGAGCCA
rnacentral:sRNA from 1 species